GAGAGAGAGAGAGAGAGAGAGCUAGGCUCCUAUGCUUUUGAAAGUACGGAGGCCUCUGUGCUUGUAAGUUGUUUUCGAUGAUGAGACUUCCAAUUCGGCGAUCGGUUCCGUUAAAUAUGAUCUACGCUAUUGGAACUAUCUAGAAACCAAAUUUCAUAAUUUUUUGACUUUGUUUGCCUAGUGAACGAGUAGCCUCAAAAUGAAUGGUUGAAAAUAAAAAUCUCAUAAAAAAUAGUGAUAAAAGACUCAAAUUUCAAAUCGGAAGUAUUGUUUUUAAUCUUAAUGUUAAGUAGAAUUUUUUAUUAAAAUUUCAUAUAAUUUGGAAACUUCUACACCGUUGAAUUUAAAAACGUACCACAUCGGCCGUUAAAAUAGUCAUUUUUGAGACCCUGUGAUCGCUUGGUAAAUGAUGGCAAAAAAUUAUAAAAUUUGAUUUUUAGAUAGUUCCAAUAGCGUAGAUUAUGCCUAUAUAUAUGUAUAUAUAUAUAUGUAUGUAUAUAUAUAUAUGUGUAUGUAUAUAUAUAUGUAUAUAUAUAUAGUUGAGCUAGAAUACUCUCAAAAGCACCAAGUUGAUGGUGCUCUUGAGUUUUUAACCCUUGGAUGGAGAAAUGUAAGAUUGAGAUGAUAGUGGUAGGUGAUGGUAGGUGGAAUAGUGUUUGAUUCAAGGACUAUUAGUAAUUAAGAAGUAGAUCCAAGGGCUAGAAACCUAAAAGCAAAAAGAGGGUGAUACUUCUAGCUCAAUUCAUAUAUAUAUAUAUAUAUAUAUAUAUAUAUAUAUAUAAGAUUUCUCAAGUACCAUUCAGAGUAGUCUAACUUAAUUCUCUCUAUAGCAGUACACAAUUAUAAAGGGGGGUAAAAUUGAAAUAUAUAUAUAUAUAUAUAUGAGUCCGGCUACUAUACUAUCGAUAGUACCAAGCACUUGGUACUAUUGAGUUUUUUACCGUUAGAUCUACCCCCUGAUCAUUUCCACCCAUUAGAUUAUACUAUUAAACCAACCACUCACUCAAACCUAGGGGACCACUAUCAAUUAACAGGGGACCACUAUCAUCCUAACCGCACAUUUUUUCAUCCAACAGCCGAAAACUCAAUAGUACCAAGGACUUGGUACUAUUGAUAGUAUAGUAGCAUAAUUCUCUCUCUCUCUCUCUCUCUCUAUAUAUAUAUAUAUAUAUAUAUAGUCCGGCUACUAUACUCUUAUGAGUAUAGUCUCUUUUAUGCUCAUAAGUUUUUUAUCAUUAGAUCUACUUCUUUGAUCAGUUCUAUCCGUUAGAUUAUACUAUUCAACCAACCAUCCACUCAACCCUAGGUGACCACUAUUAACCUAACCAGGAACCACUAUCAUCCUAACCGCACAUCUUUUCAUUUAAUGGUCGAAAACUUAUGAGUACAAAGGAGCUAUACUCAUAAGAGUAUAGUAGCUCUAGUCUCAAUACAUAUAUAAAAUAUAAAUUAUAAUAAUUU
rnacentral:lncRNA from 1 species